rnacentral:rRNA from 1 species
AUUGAACGCUGGCGGCAUGCUUUACACAUGCAAGUCGAACGGCAGCGCGGGCUUCGGCCUGGCGGCGAGCGGCGAACGGGUGAGUAAUGCAUCGGAACGUGCCCGGUAGUGGGGGAUAGCCCGGCGAAAGGGGGACUAAUACCGCAUACGACCUGAGGGUGAAAGCGGGGGACCGAAAGACCUCGCGCUAUCGGAUCGGCCUAUGUCGGAUUAGCUAGUUGGUGGGGUAAAGGCUUACCAAGGCGACGAUCCGUAGCUGGUCUGAGAGGACGACCAGCCACACUGGGACUGAGACACGGCCCAGACUCCUACGGGAGGCAGCAGUGGGGAAUUUUGGACAAUGGGGGCAACCCUGAUCCAGCCAUGCCGCGUGCGGGAAGAAGGUCUUCGGGUUGUAAAGCGCUUUUGUUCGGGAAGAAAUCCUCUGAGCUAAUACCCCGGUGUGAUGACGUUACCGGAAGAAUAAGCACCGGCUAACUACGUG